rnacentral:lncRNA from 1 species
GCACACAAAGUUCUAGAAUAGCAUAAAAUAAUUUAGGAAAUUCAUCAUUUUUAGAAAUUUCAAUGACGACUGGGCUCUUUAUUUCUGAGAUUUCACACAACUUAAUGAAUUUCCUUAAGAGAUAGGUUUUAAUAAUGCAAUUUGAUUGUCAAUGAAUUCUUGACGAAUAACGGACUUAGAGGAAUAUUUAUCCUGAAUUCUUAAUGUUGAAGUUGCUUCCUGAUGUACUGUAACGAUCUUUGCUGUGAUACUGCUUUCGUUUUAUACACAGAACAACUUAUAUGACGUGGAUGAUUUUUACUUAAACUAACUUAUGUAUACGUUUGACAAGCAGUAGAGGAGAGUUUAUAUUUGAUUUUCGUUGUAAUUUUAUAGACAUAGGACUUUCGGAUGAUAUUGUUAAAGAUUAAUGUUACUUCUAUAACUUUAGAAUUCUCUAUUGGUUUCAAAUUAAUGAUCACCAAACUUUUUGCUGAUUUUUUUUUUUAGUUUUUAUUAUUUACGAUUUACAAACAAAAAUCAUCAAUUUAAGUGAAAGUAUCAUGUGUAGAACAUUUAUCUGUAUUAUAUGAAAGAUUAUUGGUUUAUGGUAUUUGAUUGUAAUAUUGGAUUUAAAUCACAAGCUAAAAUUUAUUUUGGUAAGAAUAUUUUUCAUUAUUACGUAAUACAUUGUUAAUUAUUUUUAUUGACGACCGUUCAUCCGCUUUAUUUUAUUUUAUGCUUUUGAAUCAACCUCCAUAUGUGCUCAAUACAGGAACAUCAUUAGAUGCAGGCCGCAUAGUAUUAGUAGCAAUUAAUGCUGUACAGUCGUCAACAAAAUUGAAGCAAUUACAUCUCCUCUAAUGCUCGACAAAGAUAUACAUAACUUGGCUUAAGUAAAAAUCAUACCCGUCAUAUAAGUUGCUCUGUGUAUAAUAUGGAAGCUAUAUCACAGCAAAGAUCGUUACAGUACAUCAGGAAGCAACUUCAACAUUAAGAAUUCAGGAUAAAUAUUCCUCUAAUUCAGUUAUUCGUCAAGAAUUCAUUGACAAUCAAAUUGCAUUAUUAAAACCUAUCUCUUAAGGAAAUUCAUUAAGUUGUGUGAAAUCUCAGAAAUAAAGAGCCCAGUCGUCAUUGAAAUUUCUAAAAAUGAUGAAUUUCCUAAAUUAUUUUAUGCUAUUCUAGAACUUUGUGUGCAAACUGUAACAGCUUUUAGUCAAACAUUUUUAUUUUUUUUUUUGAAGAAACCGUUUUAUAAUAGCCUUGUGCCAGUUAUACAAAUAUAUGGAAAAAAAUACAAAUAUAAUAAGCCUAUUAGAACAAAGAAUGAGUUGGAAAAUCUUUUAGAAAAUAUUUAUAAUAUUGAAAAAUGUUCUGGAAUAUUUGGACUUGUCUAUACAAAAUGUAUGGGUUAUUUUGAAGAUAGUUCAAAAUAUAUUCACGCCUUCAUUACCUGGAUGUCAUCAAUGGACCAGAGGUUUACGUUAACCAAACACAUGUGCAUUGUCGCCAAAAAACCUUGCUCAGCAUCCGCACUGACUAUGCUCAUGUCCAACGUUAGAGUUCCAUGCCAGUGAAAGCGGAGACUACUGAGCUCAGUAUUCGAGAGCUAGGUAUGGUACUUGUUUGGUUAAAUCAAGUGGUUGCCUAGGAUAGGACAAGGGCCAUACUGAUAAGACCGCAGAGGACAGCUCAGGGUCAUCUCAGCGUACCGUACAGUUUCCGACGAGGCAUCGCUAAUUCUGACUGCCAUGCCACCAGCCGAACUCCUAGGUCUGAAAAGGUUGAGGAUUAGGAAUUGUCUGUGCGCUCUUAUCCUUCCCAGAGGUCCAGCCGAUCUGCCCAAGUAUGCUAUUAGAAGGGAGGAACGCAAUACGACGAUUGUUCAACUGUACAAAGACGUCACAGUCGCCGCACGUCAUUCCUGACGUCGGAUGUAGAUAGCGAGAUAAAUAUCGAAGGUGCAACUGACAUCACAUGACCCAGGCCCGGAGGGACAUGGCUGUUUCCAGCACUACCUGCACCGCAUGGGAAGGGCUGCCAGUGCAAAGAACAAUCGCUAUGACAGCAAUGCUAAUACUUCCGAACACACAUUGUUUGAAUGCCGGAAAUGGAGCAGUAUAAGAGAAGUGCCCAACUCAAGCAACUUACUGACCUCUGAGUCUUUCCCUCCACUAAAACUAAUUACCCUUGCAUUAGAGGGUCUACCCUCUGAGUCUAAAGAAAAGAUGACAGUCCUCAGAGACGCUGAAGAAUUUCUGGGUGUUCUACGUGAUGUUGGAAAACAUCCUGACUGCGAAUAAUGGAAAUGCAGCCGGCCGAAGGAAGGUGACACGAUCCUUCCGGUAAGUGUCUGCCCCCUCCCAACAAGGUGUAUGAGGUAAUAAAAGGGGUGUGCUUAUGCCGGAUCGCAAAGAGGAGAAUCAGAAUGGAAUGUCAAGGAUGGAGAAGAUUUGAAGUAAAUAUGUAUUAACAUGUAUUUAUCAAGAUGUGAUGAAUAGAAUUUCAGAUAACAACCAAAUUGGCUGUAAUACACUCACUCUGAAAAGUGGUAUUUUCUCUUAUCUCCAAUUAUGUCUAUGGCAAUUUAAUACAACACAUAGUUUAUCGGGAACAUAUUUGUGACAAGAUGCCAAUUAGCCACAGCCUUGGCACAUUUAGCUGUGGGUUUCAAGUUUGUUUGACAAAGCUGAGGUAUUUAAACUGUUCCAAGUUCGCUUAUAAAAACGACAGACCUUGUCACAUCAGAGUUGCCACUAUUUCAGAACAAUAAAGUUAUAUGUAAUAUAACCCCAAAAAUAGAUGGUAUUGAGAUAAAAUUAUAACCUGAUUCACCUAACUAAUGAAUUAAUAUGUUGUUUGCAGUAAUUAGAUAUUACAAAUUAUAUGCCUAAAAAUAUAUAUUUCAUUUUAUAUAGCAAAUUAAUGUACCUAUGUUUAUUUUU